CCAGCACUAUGCCGUGGGUCUGCUGGCCAGGGAGAUGUGCAAUGUCUUGGUCCCCUUCUGUUCCUGCAUCACGCUCCACUUGCUCCGGCAGCUCAGCAGGGAGGAGCUGUGCUGGGAUCUGCCUGCCCUGGCAUUCCUUGUGGAGGUCCUCGAGUGCCUGGACACGACUAAAUGUGGUGACAGCAUGCUGGAGAUUAUGUCAAGGCACCUGCAGAGCGAGUGCAGGGAGCGGCGUCC